UACGUAGGGGGCAAGCGUUGUCCGGAUUUAUUGGGCGUAAAGAGCGUGUAGGCGGUUUGGUAGGUCCGCUGUGAAAAACUCGAGGCUCAACCUCGAGACGCCGGUGGAAACCAUCAGGCUAGAGUCCGGAAGAGGAGAGUGGAAUUCCUGGUGUAGCGGUGAAAUGCGCAGAUAUCAGGAAGAACACCCGUGGCUAAGGCGGCUCUCUAGUACGGUACU
rnacentral:rRNA from 1 species